rnacentral:ncRNA from 1 species
GUUAAAUCCAUGAUGAGGUAAAAGCUGAGGAAUCCUACAUUUACAGAGAGCCGGUAUUGCUGGAAGCCGGUAUUGUAGCCUUUAGCGACAUCCCCUCGGAGUGGAGCACUGAACGUCAUUUCAAUUAGGUGCUCCCGGGCGUAACUAGUUAUGCCCGUUAUCAGUGGACAGCUACGGCUGUUCUUGAGGCAGCUUGUUACGCUGCAAAGUAGGGUGGUACCAUGAAAAGUCUUUUCAUCCCUAUA